rnacentral:lncRNA from 1 species
UGACACCUAAUUUCCAGAAUUUGGAAGGAUCAUGGACCAAUAUCUCACCAACUCGUUGAUGUUCUAGCAAAAGAGCACAAGCAUCAAAGGGUUGAACUAUGUCUUCAUUUGGCCCAUCAACAUUGGCAAUCAUAAAUUUGAUCAGGGACAGGCAUUUGGUGCUUGGAAAGGAAAUAAACAUCGACCGAUCUUUCUGCUAUUUGUAGUGGGAAUCCAUUAGAUACAAGGCCAAUAUAUGGAGAUGGAGGUGAAUAAAUAUAUGGCAUAGUGAACGCAAUCUCUUGCAAGUAUACAAAGAGCAAGAAAGUGUGCAACAAUAACGUCAUGUUGCUACUAAUCCUAUUACAAAUUUUGCUAUCUUUGUAAUUCUUUCUUACCUUACGGCUUAAGCUUAUUUGAUUAUAUCACGUGAUCAACUUCAACUUUAUUUUUAUUUUUUUAGAUUCGUUCUCGGUGGCAUUAUAAGAAAUGCUCACUCUAAAAUUCAGAAAAUCCCUUCUUCUAGAAAGACUAUGGCCUCUAAAAUUUAUAACUUUAAUUCUAGAAAAAUAAUGUGUGAUCUCUUCAAUCUUUAUAAAGACAGUUCUAUAUUUCAAUUGUACAUAUAUUGCGAUUCAUUUGCAUAAUCUGGGGGCAAUCACAGCAUUACAGCAAGGCAUAGGUGUACCCUGGCCUGGCACAAUUCAUAGACCAAGUAGCAGACAAGAGGGUUGUGCUGAAUUCAAAUCCAAUCCUUUAUUCUGUUAGAGCGCUCCUAUACAGGCAGACCAGAUCAGAAGAAAAUCUAGCGUGUACACUAAAAUAUAUUCCCUCCAAACAAAGAGGUAAAAUUGUCAGCAAACACCCACAUGAUAUGCACGCAAUUGACUUAUUUUGACCAAUUUUAGUUAGAGGGACAGUUUUGCAAAAAUUGAAAUACUGGCUAUAACAUUGUAAAAAUUGAAACAUUAGCAUCUAUAUUGCAAUUCAACGUCAACAUGAGGAGACAGUUUUGUAAUUUACC